UGGGGAAUAUUGGUCAAUGGGCGCAAGCCUGAACCAGCCAUGCCGCGUGCAGGAUGACGGCCCUCAGGGUUGUAAACUGCUUUUGUAUGGGAAUAAAAAAGUCCUUGCGAGGGCUCUUGAAGGUACCAUAAGAAUAAGCACCGGCUAACUCCGUGCCAGCAGCCGCGGUAAUACGGAGGGUGCAAGCGUUGUUCGGAUUUACUGGGCGUAAAGGGCGCGUAGGCGGGGUAUCCAGUUAGGGGUGAAAGCCCGGGGCUCAACCUCGGAACUGCCUUUAAAACUGAUACUCUAGAGUCCGGAAGAGGGUCGCGGAAUUCCCAGUGUAGAGGUGAAAUUCGUAGAUAUUGGGAAGAACACCGGUGGCGAAGGCGGCGACCUGGUCCGGUACUGACGCUGAGGCGCGAAAGCGUGGGGAGCAAACAGGAUUAGAUACCCCCGUAGUCC
rnacentral:rRNA from 1 species